AUGCGAACAAUAUUCAUCUAUGAAACAUAUUAAUCAUUGAAAAUGCAUAUUAAACAUUAAAAAAAAAAUUGGUGCAGAAACAGAAACACAAAAAAAAAUGCAGGUCCGAGUGUUGGCUGCGGCACCUUACGCGACCCGGCCUGUCCGGCCUGCGCAUGCUAGCCCCCGCCCGGCCUCCUGGCCCGCGCGGUCAGCCCGCGCGGCCAGCCAGCGCUUGGGGCCCAAGCGCAGCCAGAGGUGGCCCGCAAGGCCGCGAGCAGCCUACUUGCGCAGCCAGCCUGCGCCCGCGGCCCGUGCAG
rnacentral:lncRNA from 1 species